rnacentral:lncRNA from 13 species
AGACAAAUCAAAUUUGACAAAUGGCUUACAUUUAACAAACACCUGAGACAGGUGGAAGAAAGAUUUGGCAUAACCCACAGUUUUGGAUCUGUGUACAGGCCCCAAUCCCAAAAUCUGGUGGAACGUCAAACCAAAAGUAAAAGCUAAGAUAGCUAAAGUAUGUGCCUCAUGGGAUAAUGACUGGUAGAGUCAUGCAUGGUCCACCAAGGGAGGGAGGUCAUAUGCCCGCCCUUGAUGUACAACAAAUUGUAAUGUCUAAUUAUGUGAAAAAACUGACGGUUCUCUCUGCAGCACUCUCUACCCAGGUUCACAAGGUCCAGGAGGGGGAGCUGCCGGGGGACACGCCACUACUGAAGAGCAAAGAACUUUUGCUGUGCACCAAUGGGGCCCGCUCUGGCUAGAGCAAGGCCCGCCUCCAACCCUCCGACCAGUCAAGAAGACCGAAACGACAAGACUCCACCUACUUUAUUCUAUGUAUAAAAAUGUAUGUAACCAUUGUAUAGGCCUCUUUUUCACCUGGCUCCUUGCCGAGUUAUGUGAACUAGGUCCGUGCACGUAAAACUGCGGGACAAGAUAUCUCUGACUCAUUAAAACUGUCUUUCGUUACAACUGAAAUCCACUCUGUCCAGCGUCCGUGAUUUGGUCUCAACUCUCCAGUAUUUGAACACUAACAUACUGCAGGCUGCCAUCAGCAGCAACAUUUUCUUUAUAUUGAUUGGUGGAGUGCUGCAGAGAUGGUUGUCCUUCUGGAAGUUUCUCCACAGAAGAACUCUGGAGCUCUGUCAGUGUCCAUCGGGUUCUUGGUCACCUCCCUGACCAAGGCCCUUCUCCCCCGAUUGCUCACUUCAUUUUCUUUCCUCUAAAACUUCUGUGUGCGAUUUUAAAAUAAUUGGUUCAAGGAUAUACAUCUUGUGUAUUAUAAACUAUUAUUGGUACCAUGGUCUUAUAAAUUAAUGUUUGAUUUACACAAAGAUUGACUUCGACGAUUGUCAUUUUUCCAUUCACUCUGAUAGGGGAUCCUGUAU